UUACAGCCAUAUCAGGUUGAAACAUAGGUUCUCAUAUGAUCAACCAAUUUAAGACAUGUUGAGCUUGGUCAGUACCUAGAUGGGUGACCGCUUGUGAAUACCAGGUGCUAUA